CAUGCGAGUGACCGACUAGAGAAACGUCAUUUGACCCACCUAUGCAUCCCCUGGGACCCCCGCUGAACGAAACAUUUGCACAGUGGUGUCGUUCUUCAGAAUUUUCGGGAAGAAACCUCUCAGGAAUGAAUUUAUCAGUGUCCUCCACCAGCGCAGAUUCGGUUCAGUAAAAUAUUGAGCAAUAAAUUUGGGUGAAAAUGAGGUCAACGCUCGUAAGCUCAAAUAAGAACGAACCUGUACAGCGGGGUGCAUUCCUAGCAUCAAAAAUGCGAACGAACUGAUGACUCCCGUCGUAUCUUGAGCCUUCGAAGCCAUGAAAAAAAGAUAAAGUCUGAGGAAUAGCGGAGAACUCUUUUGUUAUGGAAAUUUCUCAAGAUAAUUUAUAACUCGUCGAAUGAAAAGCAGAAAUCGUCACCAUGACACGAGGUCUCUCAGGAUUUUUUUCUCCCCUUUCGAACUCGUAGUGCUCAGCUUUCUUUCGGACAAUUGCCUGCGACAGCAAGAAAAACCUUUUUCUUCAUACCUCGGUCGAAAGUACGCACUUUCGGCCCCGAUUUCAGGGCCGAAAGUUCAACAUUCCUGCAUUGGUAAAAAAAAAAACACGCUCGCUGUGACAGCGGGAGCAAAAAUUUUUCUCUGCACACCUUAGUCGAAAGAUAACAUUUCUGCGCUGUCAAAACUGCAUGCGCUUCAUUUGUCUCGGCGGGAGCAAAAACUUUUUUCUGCAUUCCGAAAGGUUUGACGUAAUUAUUUUUUUUACUUUUGACGUUUGACGUUUGAACAGAUAUUGCUUACGUGUUUUUUGAAAGGUUGUGUCUAGUCAUCUGCAAAC